rnacentral:rRNA from 1 species
UACGUAGGGGGCAAGCGUUGUCCGGAAUCAUUGGGCGUAAAGCGCGCGUAGGCGGCCCUGUAAGUCCGCUGUGAAAGUCAAAGGCUCAACCGUUGAAAGCCGGUGGAUACUGCAGGGCUAGAGUCCGGAAGAGGCGAGUGGAAUUCCUGGUGUAGCGGUGGAAUGCGCAGAUAUCAGGAGGAACACCAAUAGCGAAGGCAGCUCGCUGGGACGGUACUGACGCUAAGGAGCGAAAGCGUGGGGAGCGAACAGG